ACCACCAGCAUGCUCCCAGA
rnacentral:misc_RNA from 1 species